CAGUAGCCGCGGUAAUACGUAGGGUGCAAGCGUUAAUCGGAAUUACUGGGCGUAAAGCGUGCGCAGGCGGUUUGUUAAGACAGAUGUGAAAUCCCCGGGCUCAACCUGGGAGCUGCAUUUGUGACUGGCAAGCUAGAGUGUGGCAGAGGGGGGUGGAAUUCCGCGUGUAGCAGUGAAAUGCGUAGAUAUGCGGAGGGACACCGAUGGCGAAGGCAGCCCCCUGGGCCAACACUGACGCUCAUGCACGAAAGCGUGGGGAGCAAACAGGAUUAGAUACCCCCGUAGUCCCUGUCUCUUAUAA
rnacentral:rRNA from 1 species